rnacentral:rRNA from 1 species
UACGUAGGGAGCAAGCGUUGUCCGGAAUCAUUGGGCGUAAAGCGCGCGUAGGUGGCCCCCAUAAGUUCCGCUGUGAAAGUCAAAGGCUCAACCUUUGAAAAGCCGGGUGGAUACUGUGGGACUAGAGUACGGAAGAGGCGAAGUGGAAUUCCUGGUGGUAGCGGGUGGAAUGCGUAGAGAUCAUGAGGAGACCAGUGGCGAAAGGCGGGGUCGUACUGGACAGUUCCCGACGACAUCGAGGACACGAAGGCCAGGGGAGCAAACGGG